CUGUGACAUUGCACCAUAAUAGGGAUUUAUAGGCCUGUAAACUAUCAAUGUUUUGACUGGAUUUGCUGUUUAGAUGCCCCUUAAACUAUUAUAUGAUUUAAUUAGUAUAUCUCAAUAAGAUGCUUUCGUUGAUAUUAAUUACCUGGGUACUGUAUAACCACUUAUUUUCGGGUGAAUUAUAUUUUUGCUAAAUUGUGGGUCAUUGAUGUGAUCACAAAAAAUUGAUCUGUGAAGAAUAUGACACGAGUAAAUAUCCACAAUAUAACCUGGGGGUAAGACUGUAGUCGUAAUGUACCGCCAUUAGUCAACUCUACGGGAUUCUGUCCCCUCCAACAUCCACAAUAUAACCUGGGGGUAAGACUGUAGUCGUAAUGUACCGCCAUUAGUCAACUCUACGGGAUUCUGCCCCCUCCAACAUCCACAAUAUAACCUGGGGGUAAGACUGUAGUCAUAAUGUACCGCCAUUAGUCAACUCUACGGGAUUCUGCCCCCUCCAACAUCCACAAUAUAACCUGGGGGUAAGACUGUAGUCGUAAUGUACCGCCAUUAGUCAACUCUACGGGAUUCUGCCCCCUCCAACAUCCACAAUAUAACCUGGGGGUAAGACUGUAGUCGUAAUGUACCGCCAUUAGUCAACUCUACGGGAUUCUGCCCCCUCCAAGAUCCACAAUAUAACCUGGGGGUAAGACUGUAGUCGUAAUGUACCGCCAUUAGUCAACUCUGCCAGAGUCUGCCCCCUCCAACAUCCACAAUAUAACCUGGGGAUAAGACUGUCGUCAUAUUGUACCGCCAUUAGUCAACUCUGCCAGAGUCUGCCCCCUCCAGUCAUCCAAUCGACAAUAGUUGUUCAGAACAGAUUUCAGAUUGAAGUAACUUCAGUAAGCAAAUACAAAAUGUAGUUGUAUUGAUACACUAUGAGUAUCCUUUAGUUCUUUAGAAAGGUGUAAUGUACUAUCAACAGUCAUGAGUAAAAUAUUUUGUAACUUGACAUUGGAAGUGAAAAUUAGAUACAUUAUAUCCUCGUGCUCAUUAAGAUUUCUAUUCUUUUGUUUUUAAUGAAAAUUGCAAAAUUGUUUACCCGCAAAAAUAACAGGCUACACAGUAUAUUUAUAUGUAAGAUAAGUACAACGAGAAGGUUUUAAUUCUUUAUAAUACUGUAAGUGAUCUGUUUUCAUCAAAAUAAUUAUCUAACUUGAGUUAAUCUUCCAUACCCAGACUCUCAGACAACAUAUUUCAAAAUAUGAUACACAAUAUACACAAUAUAUUAAUUGUGAGAUAGGUACUCCUGUAUGAACACUCUCUGACAUGAUAAUAGAGGUUUAAUGGUGACAUUAGAUAGGACUUUAAUAGAGGUUUAAUGGUGACAUUAGAUAUGACUUUAAUAGGGGGUUUUGAAUUAAUGGUGACAUUUCAUCUGGGUAAUUUAAAUUGCUGUGUUUUUGUUUUUUUAUACCAGCAUGUAUUCAUCACACUUGUAUUGUCGAUGUAUCCCACCUGUGUAAGGAGACCUUAGAUCCCCUAAGUAAGAAAGUCCCAGUAUACAUAACUAUACAGGGAUCACAAAACAAUUAUGUCUCAAAUAUUUUCAGUUUCUUGGUAUCAAACUUUUUUGGAAAUAAUGCAUUACAACCUUGAAAUAUUUGAUGAAAUAAAAUGGCCUGUAUGACUAGUCGAUGGCAGAACCUAUUGUAUGUUUAACUGUGAAAAUGUGUUGUUCUCCUGAUUUUGUCCUGCUAUAUCUGCCAGGACAGAUGGCUCAUGAACAGGAAACUUUAAAAUCAUAAUUUCAAUAUAUUUAUGUUGUUUGUUUUUUUAGUUUUUCUUCAAAAGAAUGUCAGUCUUAUAGCUAUUUAUAAAGAAAUUUUAAUAAAGAAAUGUGUAUGUA